rnacentral:rRNA from 2 species
GAUGAACGCUGGCGGCGUGCCUAAUACAUGCAAGUCGAACGAGUUCUGAUUAUUGAAAGGUGCUUGCAUCUUGAUUUAAUUUUGAACGAGUGGCGGACGGGUGAGUAACACGUGGGUAACCUGCCCUUAAGUGGGGGAUAACAUUUGGAAACAGAUGCUAAUACCGCAUAAAUCCAAAAACCGCAUGGUUCUUGGCUGAAAGAUGGCGUAAGCUAUCGCUUUUGGAUGGACCCGCGGCGUAUUAGCUAGUUGGUGAGGUAACGGCUCCCCAAGGCAAUGAUACGUAGCCGAACUGAGAGGUUGAUCGGCCACAUUGGGACUGAGACACGGCCCAAACUCCUACGGGAGGCAGCAGUAGGGAAUCUUCCACAAUGGACGCAAGUCUGAUGGAGCAACGCCGCGUGAGUGAAGAAGGCUUUCGGGUCGUAA